rnacentral:rRNA from 1 species
CGGGUGAGUAAUGCGUGACCAACCUGCCCCAUGCUCCAGAAUAGCUCUUGGAGACGGGUGGUAAUGCUGGAUGCUCCAACUUGACGCAUGUCUUGUUGGGAAAGUGUUUAGUGGCAUGGGAUGGGGUCGCGUCCUAUCAGCUUGUAGGCGGGGUAAUGGCCCACCUAGGCUUCGACGGGUAGCCGGCCUGAGAGGGCGGACGGCCAACGAUUGGGACUGAGAUACGGGCCCAGACUCCUACGGGAGGCAGCAGGA